GACGAACGCUGGCGGCGUGCUUAACACAUGCAAGUCGAACGGGAUUUAGUAGACAGAAGCCUCGGCUAAAGAUUACUAAUGAGAGUGGCGAACGGGUGAGUAACGCGUGAGCAACCUGCCUAUGACAGUGGGAUAGCCUCGGGAAACCGGGAUUAAUACCGCAUAAAAUCGUAGAAACACAUGUUUUAACGGUCAAAGAUUUAUCGGUCAUAGAUGGGCUCGCGUCUGAUUAGCUAGUUGGUGAGAUAACAGCCCACCAAGGCGACGAUCAGUAGCCGGUCUGAGAGGAUGAACGGCCACAGUGGAACUGAGACACGGUCCAGACUCCUACGGGAGGCAGCAGUGGGGAAUAUUGCACAAUGGGGGAAACCCUGAUGCAGCGACGCCGCGUGAACGAAGAAGGUAUUCGUAUCGUAAAGUUCUGUCCUAUGGGAAGAUAAUGACAGUACCAUAGAAGAAAGCUCCGGCUAAAUACGUG
rnacentral:rRNA from 1 species